UAUAGACCUUAUUAAGAUCCAAAGGUAUGGGUCAAGCCUACCCCCUAGCGGCGCGUUUCAGUGUGAAGGGGUGCCGUGAACAGCCGCUUUUUAUUUGGCUUGCCGCAUGUGGCAUGGUAAUAGGCUAUUCAACGGUAGCAGGCGACUACCACAUUUUUCGUAAGUUUUCUGUCACGUUGGAUUGCACGAUUAUGCUGUAUUAUGACUAGUGAUACUACUAUCUGUAGUUUAAAGCUCUCUAAAUUUGCUGAGGGUUUAGUCCCAGAGGAGAAGAAGUUGUACUGCGAUUUUUAAAAAGAAUUGGGGUGUGUUGACCCACUUACAAUUCCCCUAUCAGUGUAUAAAAGUGAAAAAAAAGUGAAAGAAGUGCUUCCUCCAAUAAAAAAUAAACAUUUAGUUCUAUAUUUAGUUAUUGAACGGAAUGGCAGUGAUGGUGAGAAGUUUGAGGCAUACAUAUGACAGAAACUUACGAAAAAUGUGGUAGUCGCCUGCUACCGUUGAAUAGCCUAUUACCAUGCCACAUGCGGCAAGCCAAAUAAAAAGCGGCUGUUCACGGCACCCCUUCACACUGAAACGCGCCGCUAGGGGGUAGGCUUGACCCAUACCUUUGGAUCUUAAUAAGGUCUAUAUAGCGGAAAUGGAAUGCUAGAAAUCAGCAACCCCGACCAUCGACGAGAAAACGAAAGCCAUAUAUUCAGCCACCAUUCAAGAAUUCCGCUGCGACAUCUAACAGAUGUAUUCUUCAACCUCUAUCAGAAAAAGAUGAACGAAACACAGGUCCAGUUGCCUACGGGCUUUUCAUUGCGCUGACGGAAUACUUAACACCCGCAGUUGUAAGGUAUUUACGUAAGAAAGGAAUAGAAACUCACUCGGGUCCCGACUAUGAUUGUUCACAAGUUCUUUACAAGCUAAUUAACGAAGUGGGGCGAGAUAAGAAUGCUUCCGACGCUUGCAUCCGCUCGUCUGACGAAGAUCAAAUGAUGGCAAUUUUAAAAAACUAAUUUUAUCAAUAAAAGGAUUUUGUUCCGUCA